rnacentral:rRNA from 1 species
AGUAGGGAAUCUUCCGCAAUGGACGAAAGUCUGACGGAGCAACGCCGCGUGAGCGAAGAAGGUCUUCGGAUUGUAAAGCUCUGUUGUUAGGGAAGAACAAGUACCGUUCGAAGAGGGCGGUACCGUGACGGUACCUAACGAGAAAGCCACGGCUAACUACGUGCCAGCAGCCGCGGUAAUACGUAGGUGGCAAGCGUUGUCCGGAAUUAUUGGGCGUAAAGCGCGCGCAGGCGGUUCCUUAAGUCUGAUGUGAAAGCCCACGGCUCAACCGUGGAGGGUCAUUGGAAACUGGGGGACUUGAGUGCAGAAGAGGAGAGCGGAAUUCCACGUGUAGCGGUGAAAUGCGUAGAGAUGUGGAGGAACACCAGUGGCGAAGGCGGCUCUCUGGUCUGUAACUAACGCUGAGGCGCGAAAGCGUGGGAAGCAAA